GUGCCAGCAGCCGCGGUAAUACGGAGGGUGCAAGCGUUAUCCGGAAUCACUGGGCGUAAAGGGCGCGUAGGCGGUCUGUUAAGUCCGAUGUUAAAUACCGGGGCUCAACCCCGGCAUGGCGUUGGAUACUGGCAGGCUGGACGGCUGGAGAGGCGAGUGGAAUUACCAGUGUAGCGGUGGAAUGCGUAGAUACUGGUAGGAACACCUAUGGCGAAGGCAGCUCGCUGGACAGCACGUGACGCUGAGGCGCGAAAGUGUGGGGAGCAAACCGGAUUAGAUACCCCUGUAGUCC
rnacentral:rRNA from 1 species